rnacentral:lncRNA from 1 species
ACAAUACAAGCAAAGCAGCCAUGCCGAAAAGAAGCAAAGCAAAUAAUGACACUGAAGUCGAGCCAAAGAGGAGAUCCACGAGGUUAUCAUCUAAACCCACUACUCCAGCUAAAGCAGAGCCUAAGGCAAAGACACCAGUCAAGGCAGCAGCCAAACCCAAAAAGGUAAAGGCGGUAGUAGAGAAGGCCAAGCCUGAGGAGAAGAAAGAAGAUCCUGAGGAGGAAGAAGCAACACCGGCAGAAAACGGAGAGGCCAAAGCUGAGGAGGUAAGACUUGUUACCUUAGUUUCAAUUAUAAGAUAUGCCAUGCCAGUGAUGUACGACAUUCAAAAUCAGGAGUAUUGGGUAUUACAAACAGACCAACAAUAAUUGGCAUUGCAGCUGUUUGUACCCCACAUACAAAUAGUGUAAACAACUAGACCUAAGAGAACUGUUCUAUAAUAUGGGAACGUAACUUUUUCAUCCGCCAGGAGGCAGCAGAAGAGGAAGAUGCUGAUGCAGACGAGCCUGAGAAAGAGGAGGAUGAGGCAGAAUAACAUCCUUACCCUUUUGCCAGUGCUCCCUGUACCUCCUUUCUUGUACAAUUCAGAAGAAUAUUUUUAUCAACUAUUUUCUUAAGAAAAAGCAGGUUGUGUAGUAGUAAGAUUGUAGAAACUUUUUUUUUUUUUUUAACACCUCUGGAAGAAAGGUUAUGGUCAUUGUGUGUUUCCCUUUUCUUUUGUGGUCUGGUUCAGUUGUCAGAGGGAGGGGGGCAGGUUUGUAGCAAUGACAUGCAAUCACGCCAAUAUCAGGAACUUGUUAUUCAACUGGGAGAGCUUGUCUGACACUAACAUUCCAUAGGCUUUAUGAGGGACAGUUUAUUUAACCUGUGUUGUAUGGAGAAGGGUUGGAGGUUUAUACACAAUAAUACUUAUUUUAUUUAUUGUGUAUGUUGGGUAGGAAGGUGGUAAUUCUGUUUUAAGCUGUGCUCUAUGAAUUUGUAACUAUUAUCCACACCGUAUUAUGACUCCACAGUUAUGGUUCAUUCUCCCUAGUACAUGUGCUGGAUUUUUCAUCAGGCCUGUGCAUUAUGUGAAAUGGUUUUUGUCUCUGUUCGGUGAUGGCAUUGCAAUAACAUUUGAUAUAGCUGCUGUGAAACUGUUUUUUUUUCUUUUUUUUCCAUAAUUUCUAUGCAGUAUGUAAUGUAAUGGUACGAUUUGAGGAUGGUUCGUGUGUUUUUAGCCAAGCUAAUAACAUGAAAUACAUUACAGUGUUAAACAUACUGGUUGUAGCUUAUCCUUUUGAGGGUACUGAUAAAACAUUGACUGUACUUUCACUUAAUCCUACAAGUGAACAUAGCAGCCGUAGAUUUCCAUGUGGUUUUAGAAUUUUGUGUACAGUUUCUCUUUUUUGUCGUUGUAGCUGUAUCUGUGUUGUUAUUAUUGGUAUAAACAUGCCAAUUGAAUUAAAAUGAUUGUAAUGUCUUUGUUUUCUCUGUUCUCUUAUUGAUCACAAGUGAAAUGUAAACAUGAUAUUAUAAUUAAGACACUCACUGUGAAUUGAUUAAAUACUCUGUAAAUUUCUCUUAUACCAUAUUGCGAAAAUGUGUGAUUGUUUUUUUGCCAAAUAUUGAGCAUAGGACUGCAAUUCUAUUAUUGAGUGCAGCCAUACACCAACUCAGUAGGUUAUUCGACAAGCUGCUGCAUGACAAUCGCACUAUUUCAGGGGUCGUCGACUGGUGGACCAAAUUCACUCUGUUGUCGAGUUUAUUUAAUACAUUCGAAUAGCCUACAAUGAUCCAUUAGGCUGCUUGCAGUGUUUGUUUUUUUUUCAAUUAUUUUUUCCUAUAGCAUAAAUGGCAUUUGUUGUACCAUAAAUACAUCGCCUGAAAUGGGUAAUGUCCUGAAAGGAUGCAGCUUAUGUCCGUGACAACUUGCAUAUUCGAAUAGUAUCGAUAAUUUUUGCUAACCAACCAUUUUAACUAACCAUAGCCUAAUUAUAACCUGCUACGUUUGCUACAUUAAGUCUCCUGACCUGCUACGAAGUCACUUCUGACAGCGAAUUAUCCCAUCUAGACAGACACCACAUCCGAGACUAUAACAAUAUACUGUAUUUACAUGAUGUAAGAAAAGCGGGUCUAUCAUGUCAUAUCUCCAGACAAAUGUAAAAAAAAAAGUUUUUUUGUCAACUACAGUAUUUCGCCAAUUUGUCAAUGCAAUUGAAGCCCACGAUGCACUGCACAGGCUGAUAAUGCAUUGUUCUCGUCAGCAUUGCAUGGCCCGUUUGUCCAUACACCACACAUGUUUUUCUUUAUUCAGUUGAGUUAUUGAAACAGCCUAAGUAGUGAAGCGAUGUAAGUGCACUAAAGACUAAUCGCACAGAGUAAAAUGAAGGAUAAUAAAACGUGACAUUUUUGUCUCGCUAACACGUGACGUCAUCAACAAGACACGACCUUGUCGAAGAAAAGACAACAGUGCGGUGUUUAAACUAUAAUUCCGCAUAUAGAAAUAACUUUAUUUACAUUGAUCCAAAGCUUUCAAAUGUAUUUAAAUAUAAUAUUAGUGCAAUUAGCGGCCGAGCUUCGCUUUGUCUUUGUUGUCGAACAAUAUUGUAAAAGUUGUUCCCCACCCCCUAUUUCCUCUGCUGUGGCGGAAGUAACUAGUAUUGCUGAGGCCUCAUCCUUCCAAUGGCGACUGAAAACAGGCUGAUUAGAAAGCGGGAGCAACCGUGGAGGGGGUCAGAGCAGUGUAACCGAAAUUAAAUAAAUAUAUCAUACUCUCACUAGUCAUAAAGUUAGUUUACAAUUGUACACCA